CAAACAAAAACAAAAGGUAAUACAUGAUGGUGGGUUAGGUAAUGGGUAGUGGGUGCAGGUUUGAAAAGAAAACUUUGCAGCUCCUACUUUUCAAUCUGUUGAAAGCAAGUAAAUUGGCGGGAAAUCAAAUUCUUAAAGUGGUAUCUCAUCUCUCUUUCAGAUAGGAAUCAAUGAUUAAAUGCAGUCCAAAAUAAGUUCCUUCUUCAAGCCAUCGUCAUCGUCUUCUUCUAUAAAAUCUGACCAGUGCCUGCCUUUGAGUUUAGAGGACGAUGACCAUGAAUUGGCACUUUGGGAGAAUGCUGAGCACCAGUUUGUCAAUACUUACAAGCGUAGAGCUCCAAAAUCACAUGAUGGGGAUAAGAGCGUUGAAGCCAAUAGAAGACCAGUAAGUGAUGUAUUGACAAUACCCAUUUUGAAGGAUCCAUGUAUGAAACCAGAAUCGAUGAGUUCUGGGAAAGUGCUCAACAAGAAGAGUUACGCACAGUUGCAUUUGGACUUGGGUCAAUCUGAU
rnacentral:misc_RNA from 1 species